rnacentral:snRNA from 1 species
AGACCCAUAAUAAAACAUAAUUAAUAUCACUAUUUAAUACAGAGUCUCACACAUUAUGAAAACCUUCACACCACCCCUUAACUAAUCAAACAAAAUCCACUCUCUUUUCUUAAAUAAA